AGAGUAAUGCAGCUCUGCUGGCCUCCUGGGCUACAGUGCCCUUGGCCCUAUGGACUGGAGUCGCAGCAUUAGGCUGAUUUCCCUUCUGCUUUGGAGGAGACAUUUCAGGAGAUAAAUGGCAUCACCGCGGCACUGGCUGAAGAGCUCUUUGAGAAAGGAGCCACAGGUAUAGGGAAGGAUACGGGGUCAGCGGCCCAGUCACCAGCCUGAGGGCACAUGGCUGGGAGGAGUGGAGCGAGGACCAAGCAGCAGUCAGUUGGGCUCAGAACCCAUCCUGCUUCCAGGCUCUGCACCACGCUGGCACCAUAGGCCUGCGCCUGACCUGGGUGUUUGCAUUUCGGAGGUUGCAGCAUAGGAGAACAGCUCCUGGGGGCCGGCGAGGUCUUUGCCAUUGGACCCCUGCAGCUGUAUGCCGUCACGGAGCAGCUGCAGCAGGGAAAGCCCACGUGCGCCAGUGGGGAUGCCAAGACCGACCUCGGGCACAUCCUGGACUUCACCUGUCGCCUUAAGUACCUUAAGGUUUCUGGCACAGAAGGACCUUUUGGGACCAGCAACAUUCAGGAGCAGCUCCUGCCGUUCGACCUAUCAAU
rnacentral:lncRNA from 10 species